rnacentral:lncRNA from 11 species
CUUCAUUCUCGCAACAUUUUCAUGCGUUUCUGCUGUUGGUUUUAUUGCCAUUUUCCUCUGAAAUGAUCCACGGGUAUAUGUGGAGGUUUGAACGUAUUGUUUUUCAGCAUCUACCUGAAGGGGACAGGUUUAUUGUGGAGAGCUGACAGAUUGACAAGGCUGAAAGAAGGCUGAGUGAAGGAAGAUAGACGCUUUUGAACUGUGGUGUUG